rnacentral:rRNA from 1 species
AUUGAACGCUGGCGGCAUGCCUUACACAUGCAAGUCGAACGGUAACGGGCCUUCGGGUGCCGACGAGUGGCGAACGGGUGAGUAAUGCAUCGGAACGUACCUUUCAGUGGGGGAUAACGUAGCGAAAGUUACGCUAAUACCGCAUAUUCUGUGAGCAGGAAAGCAGGGGAUCGCAAGACCUUGCGCUGAUUGAGCGGCCGAUGUCAGAUUAGCUAGUUGGUGAGGUAAAGGCUCACCAAGGCGACGAUCUGUAGCGGGUCUGAGAGGAUGAUCCGCCACACUGGAACUGAGAGACGGUCCAGACUCCUACGGGAGGCAGAAGUGGGGAAUUUUGGACAAUGGGGGCAACCCUGAUCCGGCCAUGCCGCGUGAGUGAAGAAGGCCUUCGGGUUGUAAAGCUCUUUCGGCCGGGAAGAAAUCGUAUGGGCUAAUACCCUGUGCGGAUGACGGUACCGGCAUAAGAAGCACCGGCUAACUACGUGCCAGCCGCCGCAGUAAAAC